GAGAUACCUUUUAGAACAAAAGUCAAGUCAAUCGAAAAUCAGAUUAAUCAAUAGGCCAUUUCAAAUCCAUAUACCAUACUAACACAGCGGGCCAGGGGAUGAAGAGCACAUCGAGAAAAAAAAAACUCAGUUGAGGACCUAAACACAGCCUAAACAGCGCAAUGAGCUUUCAUGUGGAGUUCGUUCAGGCCCGUAUUCUGUCGGCCUAAGAAGCGCGUUUUUAGAUAGAAGUGGACUAACGCUCAACAGGUAAUACAAAAGGCUGUCUUUGAUGUUUAAAUUAUAGGUCCACGCCUACGGCCCGAUCGGGUAAACGUCUGAGAGCAGGAUGUAGAAUGACCGUCCACUUCUGGCGUGUGGACUGUACUUACAAGACACGAAGUUUGCUUUGGCUGAACAUUCUACUUGGCACACUCUUCAGAUCGUUUCCCCUCAAAUCGCUGAAAACAAGAAAGAGAAAAAGAGAAAAGAUGCGACUCCAAUCCAUCCAAUAGAGCGUGUUAGGUUCCAUCAUCGCACCAAGGCGCGAUGCAUCAUGGUUCCUACGCGCGAUGCAUCAUGGUACCUCGCAAAAUGGUUCAUGGCCCGAAGUGUAGAAAACAGCUCGUAACCUAACAGGAUUGGCUGGAUUACCUCAUUGUUCUAUUCCCGUUCUAUUGUUUUGUUUCCUAUUAUUUUGUCUGAAGGGCAUCAAUACAAUGUGCUGAAAUCU